rnacentral:lncRNA from 1 species
UUUUUUUUUUUUUUUUUUUUUUUUUUUUUGUGGGUGGCAGGGGAGGCACACCUGUGGCACAUGGAAGUUCCCAAGCUAGGGGUUAAAUCAGAGCUGCUGCAGCUGCCAGCCUACACCAUAGCCACAGCAACAUCAGAUUCGAGCCUCAUCUGUAAGCCCUACUGCAGCUCUUGGCAAUACCGGAUCCUUAACCAACUGAGCGAGGCCAGGAAUUGAACCCUCAUCCUUAUGGAUACUAAUCAGUUCUUAACCCAGUGAACCACAACGAGGCUCCUACCUGUAUUCUUUUUGCUGCAAUUCUUCCUGUGUCAAAUAUCCCUAUACUGACCCAUACGCUCUUUCCAGUUUCAAUUUUCAUUGUUCUCAUCCUUCCAUAAGAAUAGGUAAGGGUCUGUUUUAUGUAAUUGUAUCUAGUUUUAUGCAAUUGUUCCUAGUUAUAUCCAUAUGUGCAUUGUUGUGGUAUGAGGGUGUUUAAUUAUGUGCAAAUACAAAAUCGUUUCCGUAUGUCAGUAUCCAUACAUAUGCCAACAAAUGGAUACGUGUGUACAUGUCUGUGAUUAUAACGCUGCAGAGCUGCACCAUCCCAUAUGAAUAGCCACUAGCAACAUGUGCCUAUUUAAAUUAAAUAAAAUUAAAUUUAAAAAAUUCAGUACCUCUGUAAAACUAGCCACAUUUUAAAUGUUCAGUCGUGUUCACAUGAUGCUAGUAGCUACAUACUGAAUGGAGCAGAUAUAGAAUUUUCCCACCAUCACUAAAAACCUAGCGGAUAAUGCAGCUGCAGGGAUUUCCUUUGCCCUUAGGAUGCAGUUCAGAGUCCAUAAUACGGCUGAUAAAAUCCAGACCUGGCCCUUCCUGACCUCUGUCACUAUCUCUCUUCAUACCUCCCUUCAAACACUGUUCUCCAGGCAUGCUGAACUUCUUUUAGUUCCUUGAGUAUUCUUCGCUCUCUUGACCGGGUUUCCAGCAUACUUUGCUUCCCUCUAGAAUACCCUUGGUAGCAUCACCUGUCUUCUUCCAUUUUCAGCUUCAGAGUCACGUCCUCAGGUAUUUCUCCCUGAUGGGGAGGUUCUGCAGUGGGCAUCCUAUUCUUGCCCUACAUUAAAAGUAAUACUUUAAAAAAAAAUUCUGGCAUUUUAUUUAUUUAUUUUUUUAAUUUAUUUUUUAUUUUUUGUCUUUUUGCCAUUUCUUGGGCUGCUCCACGGCAUAUGGAGGUUCCCAGGCUAGGGGUCGAAUUGGAGCUAUAGCCACCAGCCUAUGCUAGAGCCACAGCAAUGCGGGAUCCGAGCCACGUCUGCAACCUACACCACAGCUCACGGCAAUGCCAGAUCCUUAACCCACUGAGCAAGGCCAGGGAUCGAACUUGCAACCUCAUGGUUCCUAGUUGGAUUCAUCAACCACUGAGCCACGACGGGAACUCCGACUCUGGCUUUUUAAAUGACACCUAAUUCCCCGCUAGAGUGUAGGGUCCAUGAAGCCAGGACACAUGUGUCACUGUGUCAUACUGUGUCAUGCUGCUUAACUUCUGCCAUGCCAGACACGCAACUGGCACUUAGGAAAUGAAUAUGUGCAAAUAAAUAAAUGUCUGGUGUGCACAGCCUCAAAGAUGGGAGUAUGGGCAAUUGCAUCUAUAAUGACAAGAUAUGUUGUGGCCCCUCUGUGUUUACAUGCCACUGAUGCCAGGACACAACUUGCAUGUGUGAGAAGCAGAGGGGAGCAGAGAGAGUGAGGAGGGGAAGGUAAGAAGGUGGGGAAUCAGAGCGACAGAAGAAGCAGGGAAUUCCCUCGGAAGCAGGGCUGAGAGCCUCAGCAGCCACUCCCCCUGGGUCUCCUCCCUGUCCCAUGAGGAGGGGACAGGAGUUGAGUCAGAGUCC